UACUUGUAAGCUAUCGCUGAGGGAUGGGCCUGCGGGCCAUUAGCUUGUUGGUGAGGUAACCGGCUCACCAAGGCUGUGAUGGCUAGCUGGUCUGAGAGGAUGACCAGCCACACUGGGACUGAGACACGGCCCAGACUCCUACGGGAGGCAGCAGUGGGGAAUAUUGCGCAAUGGGCGAAAGCCUGACGCAGCGACGCCGCGUGGGUGAUGAAGGCCUUCGGGUCGUAAAGCCCUGUCGCAGGGGAAGAAUAAGCAUCGGUAUAAUACGCCGGUGCCCUGACGGUACCCUGCAAGAAAGCACCGGCUAACUCCGUG
rnacentral:rRNA from 1 species